GACGUAGGGGGCCAGCGUUGUUCGGAAUUACUGGGUGUAAAGGGUUCGUAGGCGGUGUGGCAAGUCGGGAGUGAAAUCUCUGGGCUCAACUCAGAGACUGCUUCCGAAACUGCUGUGCUGGAGUGUGGGAGAGGCGCGUGGAAUUGCAGGUGUAGCGGUGAAAUGCGUAGAUAUCUGCAGGAACACCCGUGGCGAAAGCGGCGCGCUGGACCACUACUGACGCUGAGGUGCGAAAGCGUGGGGAGCAAACAGG
rnacentral:rRNA from 1 species